AAGCGGUCCGCGGAGAGCAAGUCCAACCUGCACGAACGAUACCAACGUGAAAGCACAACGCCCGUCUCCGGAGUGGCACUCGUGGGAGCUACCCAACCGAGUAUGCAGCGUAUCUCUGUCGAGCUCAAUCAGGCUCUCACAAGACAAAGUCAAGUAACCGAAUCUAACUGAUCUAAUAACCAAUAGGUCACGUGCCCUCGGCACAAUCUGAC
rnacentral:lncRNA from 1 species